rnacentral:piRNA from 1 species
UUGUUUCCAAGUUGUUGACUUAGGAUGUA